GCAUGUGGGGCGUGAUUGGAGUCUCUCUCUCACUAGAACUCUUGACUUGUCACGUCUGUCCCGCUCUGUUGCUCUGCUGCGUUGUUACUGACUGCACAAGUUUGGGUGUUUCAUCCCACUGCUUUUUGCAACUCGACCUUGGCAAUAUUAGAUGCCGUGUAGUGCAGCAUUGCAAGCCUUACUCUGCUUGGGCAUUCAGGCUCAACGGAAGGUUUGCUGGUUAGCUGGGGACCACGAGCGGAGGAACUUGCUGCCCAACUAUAGUAAUUCUGGGCUUUCAGCAUUGAGAGUUUUUUCCGAGUGGCUGUCCGAGGGGGAAUCCAGAGGAGGUGCUUCCACGGUCAAGACUCGACUCCUUGAACUGGAUGACCGGUGGAUCGACUUGGACCCCUGAACGCCAUUCAGAUGGCCCAAGAACAUUGGGCUCUGCGGUCAAGUGUAGUCCCUACAAUUGUGUACAAGUGUAAAUUAUCGGAAACUGUGGUGCACAAUUGUAAUUAUAACCGAGUGGUGCACAAGAAUAAUACUUAAAAUAAAGUGGUGCACAAUUGUAAUUCAUAACUGAGUGGUGCACAAGUGUAAAUUAUCAGAAUCUGUGGUGCACCAGAGUAGUUCUUGGAAUAAGGGAUAUUUAACGUAUGAUAUUCUUGGGUUGUUCACAAGUGAUGGAAUAGUGCAGUGUAUCUUUAAAAAAAGGAAUCCGGAAGAAGUAUCAUAUAUGCAACUUGUGCAGGAAUAAGCUGUCCAUGACACUUGGUUUUUAAGAGACGCGGAUUGGUUGUCACCGGUGUUUUGUAAAUUCUGUGUAAAUUUUUAAAUAAUAAAUGAAUUGUAAAUAGGUAGACUUUAUAUAGAAAAGUUUCCGUGUCGAUUUAUUUGAGCUGACGAUACACUAACAGGCAAUGAGCGCCAUGAACAUACGUGUUCUAAAGCAAAUUUUGGCAAAAACCUUUCUAAAGUUCCAAAAAGUAUUGUUGUUUUUUACGGGUACUUUUGUUAGUUUAGAGCCCCCGUCAUGUUUUCCUGGUAGAUUUGUAGUGAAUCACUGAAUAAAUGAACAUGAAGUAGUUGUCAUUUCAAAAUGCCACUGAGCCUGCACAUACUGAGCAAUCUCUGGAUUUAGCAACCACUUUUAUUUUUGAUUCUCAGAACAACUACAAGCAAAUUGAAUGCGGAGACGGAGUGUUUCCUGUAAAAGUAGUUCGUAUUUGGCGUUGAACCAACCAGCUUCCGCCCAAUUGCCUUUCAUCCUGUGUCGUCUAUCAUGAAAGUCUGCAUCUUGAAUUUAUCAACUCCAAGCUAAAAUUAGCUGGUUGGGGAGGUUCUCUUGGCUUGAGGUGAAGUUAGACUUGCCAUGGAGGUCAUGCAUCCAGUUCUUCCAGCUGAUCGUCAUUUAUUUCAAUACUUUUGCAGGGUGCAGGGUGUAUGCCCCCCAAAAGAAAGCAAUCUAAAUAGAAUGGAUAACAUCUAAUACUUUGAAAUUAUGAAGCUAACCGAAAGGGUAAUUUCGUUGUAUUUCGCUGCAAGAAAACCUCAGUGUGUUCCUUGUGUUCUAUAAUAUCCCAAGAAGACCAAGGGAGGUUACUCGGUCGGUAUGUUUGUUAUGCAGUACAUCACAUCAAUAUCAUGCAAUCAUUUUAAGAACGAGGGGGAAAGUGCGCUUCAAAAACCGUGUAACCACAGAUUCUUGCAUAAAUCAUUUGCAUUUGGCCAUAUUAAUUACGCAAUAAACCUGUGGGCUUCAAAAGUGUCUAAGCUGCGUUAAUGCAGCGCUGACCAACACAAGAUGAACACAACAGGACGCCGCGUGUGCUGCUACAGCUCUCGAUUAGCGCCUCUGUCUAAUA